AACGAACGCUGGCGGCAGGCUUAACACAUGCAAGUCGAGCGCCCCGCAAGGGGAGCGGCAGACGGGUGAGUAACGCGUGGGAAUCUACCCAUCUCUACGGAAUAACGCAUGGAAACGUGUGCUAAUACCGUAUACGUCCUUCGGGAGAAAGAUUUAUCGGAGAUGGAUGAGCCCGCGUUGGAUUAGCUAGUUGGUGGGGUAAAGGCCUACCAAGGCGACGAUCCAUAGCUGGUCUGAGAGGAUGAUCAGCCACACUGGGACUGAGACACGGCCCAGACUCCUAUGGGAGGCAGCAGUGGGGAAUAUUGAACAAUGGGCGCAAGCCUGAUCCAGCCAUGCCGCGUGAGUGAUGAAGGCCCUAGGGUUGUAAAGCUCUUUCACCGGUGAAGAUAAUGACGGUAACCGGAGAAGAAGCCCCGGCUAACUUCGUGCCAGCCGCCGCAGUAAGAC
rnacentral:rRNA from 1 species